AAAAAACUUAUAAAUAUUGGCCGUUACAUAACAAAACGCCCUUUAUAAACCAUGAUAGGGACAUAGGGUUGUACAAUCCAUUGGUUGAAUUCCAAACAGAACUAAAAUAACCAAAUAACUGAAAAUGGAAAUUUUACAAACUGAAACUGAACGGAACCAAAUUUUUUUGGUUUGAUUUGAUCAAUUGGUUUUAAGACAUUUUCAUCAAAAUUACACAACCACCAGCAAUCUCAUCUAGGAAUCAGAAUUAUAGUAAAAUCACAACCCAUGAACAAUGUCAAGAGAAUAAGAUCAAAUGCAAUCCAUCUUCAACCAAAAAACUGUAACAAAAUCAAUACAGAGGGAGU
rnacentral:misc_RNA from 1 species